rnacentral:lncRNA from 1 species
GUUCCAGUCAAGAACAUCAGGCCCUUCAUCAAACAACCAGCUGAUCAAAAUACAGAAAAGGAUUCAUGCCUUUGAAGAAGUGGUUUGGGUUUCCUAGAGACGUCAAAGUCAUAAAAGACAAGUCUUCCGUCCUCGGGGAGCCAGUCGAUCAUAUGUCCAGAGGUGGUCGACCUUGAAGAUCCACCCUGACCAUGCUGAGAUUUGGGCAGCACCUGAUCAAGCCCUCGGUGGUGUUCCUGAGGACAGAGCUGUGCUUUGCUCUGGUGAACCGCAGGCCGGUGGUGCCAGGCCGUAUCCUUUCCAUGGUGCUGCUCCCUAGGAAAGGCAGCACACUAUCAGGACACUUGGAAAGCCAGUUCCAACUUUCAGCCGGAAAAACACUCAUGGCUACUGUUCCUCUUGUGGAGUCGUGAACUGAUUUGUG